rnacentral:rRNA from 1 species
AUUGAACGCUGGCGGCAGGCCUAACACAUGCAAGUCGAACGAGUGGCGGACGGGUGAGUAAUGUCUGGGAAACUGCAUGAUGGAGGGGGAUAACUAAUGGAAACGGUAGCUAAUACCGCAUACCAUCGGAUGUGCCCAGAUGGGUUUAGCUAGUAGGUGGGGUAAAGGCUCACCUAGGCGACGAUCCCUAGCUGGUCUGAGAGGAUGACCAGCCACACUGGAACUGAGACACGGUCCAAAGGCCUACGGGAGGCAGCAGUGCGGAAUAGUGCACAAUGGGCGCAAGCCUGAUGCAGCCAUGCCGCGUGUAUGAAGAAGGCAUUCGGUUUGUAAGGUAAUUUCUGCGGGGAGGCGUUACCCGCAGAAGAAGCACCGGCUAACUCCGUGCCAGCAGCCGCGGUAAUAC